AGAACGAACGCUGGCGGCAGGCUUAACACAUGCAAGUCGAACGCCCCGCAAGGGGAGUGGCAGACGGGUGAGUAACACGUGGGAACGUGCCCUAAGGUUCGGAACAACUCCGGGAAACUGGAGCUAAUACCGAAUGUGUCCGUAAGGAGAAAGAUUUAUCGCCUUAGGAUCGGCCCGCGUCGGAUUAGCUAGUUGGUGGGGUAAUGGCCUACCAAGGCGACGAUCCGUAGCUGGUCUGAGAGGACGACCAGCCACACUGGGACUGAGACACGGCCCAGACUCCUACGGGAGGCAGCAGUGGGGAAUCUUGGACAAUGGGCGCAAGCCUGAUCCAGCCAUGCCGCGUGGAUGAUGAAGGCCUUAGGGUUGUAAAUCCUUUCGCCGAGGACGAUAAUGACGGUACUCGGAGAAGAGCUCCGGCUAACUUCGCGCCAGCAGCCGC
rnacentral:rRNA from 1 species